GCGGAUAUAAUGAGGUGGAUAAUUUUAAUGGGUUUCUUAUGAUAUUGCUGGGCUAGCGAAUCUUUGCGCGUAUAAUUGGAAAGGAUAUUGCGGUCGUUACGAUUAUUGUUAUUGUUCGCUAUUAUUAUCGUCCGUGCAUGGCAAUUAGCACGCCACAAAAAUACGGCCAAUUAUCGCAUAAUGAAACCCCAUUAAUUACUACGUUUUUUCAUUAAUAAAGCCGGCGAGUUUCCGAAUCGCAGGCAACCGCGUAAUUAUGCACAGUUCUUUAAUAGACGUGUUUUACGCCGUGUGGCCGCGUCAACACGUACCGUCGCAUUUUCUACGUGCAACGACGCCGAAAGACAAGAUUGAAUUCAGCCAGUGAAUUCUCAAAGGUAGCCAACUUAAGGAAUUCUCUCCAUUUAACAUGGAGUAAAGCGUUAGUCAGGCCGAAAAUUCAGGUUUAUGGAGUUCCCGAAUGAUUCUGGCGAUCGAAUCCGUUGAAGGUCAUUCGAGGAUUAUCUCGGAGAUUCCUAAAAGUUUUCCAAAUACCCUUCGACAGAUAAAAACGAGCGUUUAUCUCUUGAAGCUUAUUCAGGAUCAUCGAGCAACGGGAUUGAUACGAAUAAAUUUCCAAUCUGUGUUACAAACGAAUAUUGGUAGAAAUCAGGG